rnacentral:rRNA from 1 species
AAAAUAGGUUUUUGAGAUUAUAAACUUAAUAAGCUGUUUUAUAUUUUAGUUUACUAAGGAUAAGCUUAGUAAAAAUAUGGAAAAUGUAUCAAACUAAAUAAAUUAUGUAGGCUUGAAAUUAGCCAUCAUAGUAGAACUUGUUACAAAAUAAUUUACAAAAUCUGUAAAAUUUUAAUACUUAUUUUCUCAUAUUUAUUAUAGGGGUAAUAGAAAAAAUUGGUAAAUCUAAUUUACGAAUGCUAAGAUGAGUAUUUUUAAGUUUUUAAGAAGAUAAAAUAUUGGAAAAUAUCUAUAAUAAUAGUUUUUUAAAAGAAGAAAUAAGGGGAAGGAAUUCGGCAAAUAUAAGCUCCGCCUGUUUAUCAAAAACAUGGCUCUUUGUUAAUUUAAUAUAGAGAGUCAGGCCUGCCCAGUGAAAAUUUUUAACGGCUGCAGUACCCUGACUGUGCAAAGGUAGCAUAAUCAUUUGCCUUAUAAUUGAAGGCUUGUAUGAAUGGUUCGACGAGAGCAUUGCUGUCUCCCCCUUAAUAAAUAAAAUUUGACCUUUAGGUGAAGAGGCCUAAAUAUAAUUGAAAGACAAGAAGACCCUAUCGAGCUUAAAAAUUAAAUUAGAAGCUAUUAUAAACCUAAAUCCAAUGCUAACUCAUUUUUUGAUUGGGGCGAUCAAGGAACAACAGAAGCUUCCUUUAUUUAUUCUAACUUAUAAGUAUUGAUCCAGUUAAAGCUGAUUAAAAGAAUUAGUUACCGUAGGGAUAACAGCAUAAUCUCUUUUAAGAGACCUAAUCGAAAAAGGGGGUUGUGACCUCGAUGUUGGACUAGAAUAUCCUAAAGGUGCAGAAGUC